UCCUCGGACCUUGCUUCCCUUUUCCUUUGUCGCUAUGGAGAAACAGGAAGGAAUGUUUAUUAACAAGGCUGGCUAGGGUCACACCCAAGGCAAUAUCAGAUUUUUACCUCUGCUGAGCCUGGGAGGAGGUCCAAGGAUCAAGGGCAGCU
rnacentral:lncRNA from 1 species